rnacentral:rRNA from 1 species
CAUGCAGUCGAACGGUGAAGCCCAGCUUGCUGGGUGGAUCAGUGGCGAACGGGUGAGUAACACGUGAGCAACCUGCCCCUGACUCUGGGAUAAGCGCUGGAAACGGCGUCUAAUACUGGAUACGAGUAGCGACCGCAUGGUCAGUUACUGGAAAGAUUUAUUGGUUGGGGAUGGGCUCGCGGCCUAUCAGCUUGUUGGUGAGGUAAUGGCUCACCAAGGCGUCGACGGGUAGCCGGCCUGAGAGGGUGACCGGCCACACUGGGACUGAGACACGGCCCAGACUCCUACGGGAGGCAGCAGUGGGGAAUAUUGCACAAUGGGCGCAAGCCUGAUGCAGCAACGCCGCGUGAGGGAUGACGGCCUUNCGGGKUGUAAACCUCUUUUNAGCAGGGAAGAAGCGAAANGUGACGGUACCUGCAGAAAAANGCGCCGGCUAACUACGUGCCAGCAGCCGCGGUAAUACGUAGGGCGCAAGCGUUAUCCGGAAUUAUUGGGCGUAAAGAGCUCGUAGGCGGUUUGUCGCGUCUGCUGUGAAAUCCGGAGGCUCAACCUCCGGCCUGCAGUGGGUACGGGCAGACUAGAGUGCGGUAGGGGAGAUUGGAAUUCCUGGUGUAGCGGUGGAAUGCGCAGAUAUCAGGAGGAACACCGAUGGCGAAGGCAGAUCUCUGGGCCGUAACUGACGCUGAGGAGCGAAAGGGUGGGGAGCAAACAGGCUUAGAUACCCUGGUAGUCCACCCCGUAAACGUUGGGAACUAGUUGUGGGGUCCAUUCCACGGAUUCCGUGACGCAGCUAACGCAUUAAGUUCCCCGCCUGGGGAGUACGGCCGCAAGGCUAAAACUCAAAGGAAUUGACGGGGACCCGCACAAGCGGCGGAGCAUGCGGAUUAAUUCGAUGCAACGCGAARAACCUUACCAAGGCUUGACAUAUACGAGAACGGGCCAGAAAUGGUCAACUCUUUGGACACUCGUAAACAGGUGGUGCAUGGUUGUCGUCAGCUCGUGUCGUGAGAUGUUGGGUUAAGUCCCGCAACGAGCGCAACCCUCGUUCUAUGUUGCCAGCACGUAAUGGUGGGAACUCAUGGGAUACUGCCGGGGUCAACUCGGAGGAAGGUGGGGAUGACGUCAAAUCAUCAUGCCCCUUAUGUCUUGGGCUUCACGCAUGCUACAAUGGCCGGUACAAAGGGCUGCAAUACCGCGAGGUGGAGCGAAUCCCAAAAAGCCGGUCCCAGUUCGGAUUGAGGUCUGCAACUCGACCUCAUGAAGUCGGAGUCGCUAGUAAUCGCAGAUCAGCAA